GACGAACGCUGGCGGCGUGCCUAAUACAUGCAAGUAGAACGCUGAAGGAGGAGCUUGCUUUUCUGGAUGAGUUGCGAACGGGUGAGUAACGCGUAGGUAACCUGCCUGGUAGCGGGGGAUAACUAAUGGAAACGAUAGCUAAUACCGCAUAAUAGUAGAUGUUGCAUGACAUUUACUUAAAAGGUGCAAUUGCAUCACUACCAGAUGGACCUGCGUUGUAUUAGCUAGUUGGUGGGGUAACGGCUCACCAAGGCGACGAUACAUAGCCGACCUGAGAGGGUGAUCGGCCACACUGGGACUGAGACACGGCCCAGACUCCUACGGGAGGCAGCAGUAGGGAAUCUUCGGCAAUGGACGGAAGUCUGACCGAGCAACGCCGCGUGAGUGAAGAAGGUUUUCGGAUCGUAAAGCUCUGUUGUAAGAGAAGAACGAGUGUGAGAGUGGAAAGUUCACACUGUGACGGUAUCUUACCAGAAAGGGACGGCUAACUACGUG
rnacentral:rRNA from 1 species